UACGUAGGUGGCAAGCGUUGUCCGGAAUUAUUGGGCGUAAAGCGCGCGCAGGUGGUUUCUUAAGUCUGAUGUGAAAGCCCACGGCUCAACCGUGGAGGGUCAUUGGAAACUGGGGAACUUGAGUGCAGAAGAGGAAAGUGGAAUUCCAAGUGUAGCGGUGAAAUGCGUAGAGAUUUGGAAGGAACACCAGUGGCGAAGGCGA
rnacentral:rRNA from 1 species